rnacentral:lncRNA from 1 species
CAAAAUCCAGCCAGCUUGGGAGGCAUGGUUGAUGCGAGUUAGCAAAGAUUCUCGACUGUGGUAAGUCUGUUCAAGGGGACGCAUUCACCAAGUGUCCCCGUUAGCCAAGUUAGCCUGCUGUGGCCAGCUCUUUACUUUUUCCCCCCGAAGCCCCUUCAGCUCUGUUUUCUCUUUCGGGGUCAUGAAGUUUGUCCACGGCCCCUACUCCUGACAGCCUCUGGGAUGGGUGCUGCGGAGGCAGCAGCAGCCACACAGAAAGAGGCAGAUCAGCGUUGUCACCCCUACUUUUGUAAAAGGAAAUCUGGUAUUGCCAGGCUGUGUGGUUAGCGACUCACAUAUGUUCUCGAAAUCUCACAAAAGCCCUGUGAGGUAGAAAUUAUUUUACCCAUUUUAUAGGAAGGAAAUUGAGACUGAGCGAGCCGGCUUCGGAUUGGCUCAAGGUCACAUAUAGUCAUCAUUCGAACCUCACUCAGUCUGCUUCUUUCUGAAGUCUGUGCAGCUUAAUCACUUCAGAAUGGGAAGGAAACGGGGGCCCAGGGAAGUUAAGCAACUUGCCCACUCACUCAGUCUAAUUGGUGCCGGGGCAGGGACAGAACUCACUCAAUUCCACUGCUUUCCCCAGUUUCUGGUGAGUGAUGUGUGCCUGGCACUGUGUGCACCUGGCACUGUGUGUAGUAGGAAUGCUGUUUCUUCUGUCUGUAACCUCCUCCCAGUUCUGUAAACAAAGACAAAACCAUGCCCUGCCCUUAAAGCCUAUAGGGUUCAAAUGCCACCUCUUUGAUGAUGCUUUCCCUAUAACACCAUUUGAUACCUCUCAUGGGACUUAGCAAGUAAUUGCAACGAGAGGCAUAUAUGUUAGUUCAAUAUAGCAAACCUUUGUUGAGGGCCCACUGUGUGCCAGGUAUGUCUCCCCUCCCUGAGGACUGGAAGCAACCAUAGUUUAUAUUUCUCCUUCUUUCUCGCUUUAUAAGGUGUUGCUAAAAGCCUCCAGUGAAUGAAUGAACACUUGUGUGCCUGCCCUCAAGGAGCCUGCACUACACUUGGAGAUAUAUACAGAAACCUGUUGAGGGCUAACUUAGGUUGGCAAGGCCCCCAGUGGCCAAGGCAUGAGCCUGGAUGCCCUGCAAAUUGAGUACGUGUUAGGGAUGGGGGCCAUUCUUUAUAGUUUGACUCUGGAGAGCUAGGACCACCUUUCCCAGCCUCAGGGGUGCACAUCCUCAGGAGCUGCCUACCUCCAGAUAUUGUAAGUCCAUGCAGAAGAGGAAGGGCCCAGCUGGGGCACCUCUUGGUUGAGGAAUGAGUAUGUGACAUUUUCAUGUGGGCACAUUUUGAUACUACUUUAAAAAUAGACCAAGCACAGUGGCUCACACCUGUAAUUCCAGCACUUCGGGACGCUGAGAGAGGUGGAUCACCUGAGGUCAGGAGUUCGAGAUCAGCCUGGCCAACAUGGAGAAACCCCGCCUCUACUAAAAAUACAAAACAUUAGCUGGGUGUGGUGGCACACACCUGUAAUUCCAGCUACUCGGGAGGCAGAAGCAGGAGAAUCGCUUGAAUCCAGGAGGCGGAGGUUGCAGUAAGCCGAGAUCACGCCACUACACUCCAGCUUACACUGGACAUGAUGAGGAGGAGGAGGAUGAUGGUGGUGAUUAUGAUAGAAAUGGUGAUGGUGAUGAUGACAAUGGUGAUAGUAGGGAUGGUCUUGCUCUGUCGCAAUCAAUAAAUGAAUGCAUAAACACAUUUCUACUUGUUUUUGCAGUCCUAAGAUAAGUGCUCAGUAGCAUCCCUGCCCUUCUAAUGUGAACUUGAGGGAUGGGUAAGACCCAGAGAUGGCAUGGGGGACGGGAUAAGGAAGGCCUACUGUUCAUAUUGUGAACAUGAAAUGGUUUUACAUUUUGAUGCCACUUCAUUAAAUUGACUGUAUGAUAUGAGCUAACGCUACACCCUCCUUUAAAUUUUGGCUAACACAUCCAUAUCCUCAGGUGGUAUCAGUUGAUAAUGCCCAUGAAAAUAUUUUGUAAACUACAGGGUGCUAAACAAUUAUUUACUUGUAUCCCUUUCUGUGGGGCACAGUUUGAUGC